rnacentral:lncRNA from 1 species
CUACACAAAAUUCUUGGGACACAUUGCUGUGAUACCAGUUGGAGAAGGGUGUGAGGUGAAAUGGACAGGUGAAUAUAUAAAAACUCAGAAUGAUAUUCCUGAUCCAACAAUUGUCAAAGAUUUUGCAGUCAAGAAUUUCAUUGAGGUGGAUGACUAUAUUCAACAAAAUGCAUAGAAGUUCAAUAUGAAUUUGAUGAAGGACAAGCUAGUCUUUUAAUAAAUGUAUUGUUACAUAAUGUGGUGGAAUAAUGGAACCAUUUCUUGUUUAAUGUAAUGUGAUGUAUGAAGUAAUGAGCUUGUCCUUUGUCGCUGUUGGCUUAAUGAGAUAUGUACUAUGUCUUCUAUUAUUGUUCUGAAGUAUUAUGUGAUCAUCAUUUCAUUUUCUUUCUUUGCUUACAUAUUCAUUAUUCAUACAUAUAUGUUUGUUAAUAGUGACUGUUAAAAGAAGUUUCACGGUUGCUAGAUGCAUGAAUAUAUGUUUAUAAAGUAGAGACAAUUUUCACUUUAUAAGCCGCUUUUGUAAUGAUGAGUUAAGUCAAACUCUCAAUUCUAGGAUGGUAUCAAAGCCUUGCAAUUCUAAUUGGGCCAUCUACAAUUUAUAUCCGCGGCCCAAGGCCGUCAGUGUUGGACGCGAGGGGGUGUAUUAAAGAAGUCUCACAUCAGUUAUGUGUUUAUAAAGUAUAGGCUCAAAUCUCAAUUUUAAGAGUGAGUAAUAAUAAUAACAUAGACAGAACAUUAAUAUUCACCGGUCCAUAUUUUUAAAGUUAAGAACUUCAACCAUAUGAGCUAUCAAAAGCUUAUAAAAAAAAAAUAUGAGCUAUCAAAAUCAAGUUCUGAUCGGGCUCACUGGGCCGCUUGCUAUUAAGUUUUUAUAGGGUCAUCCACCAUUUAUAUUCGUGUCCCAAGCCCAACCGUGGGCACGAGAGGGUGUUUUAAAGAAGUCUCACAUGUCACAUGGGUUAUGUGUUUAUAAAGUAGGUGCGAUCCGCACCUUACAAGCUGAUUUUGUAAUGAUAAGUUAGACCCAACUCUCAAAUUUAAGAAUGACUAAUAAUAAUAACAUAGACAUAACAUUAAUAGUCACCUAUACAUAUUUUUAAAGUUAAGUACCUCAAACAAACAUAUGAGCUAUCAAAAUCAGAUUUGGAUCACUACAACAGUGCACAUGGUGAAGUCUUCAAAGAAUCAAUGUAUUCAACACUGUAUUUCAAAAUUUAAUGACUCUGUAUCAGCUGCAUUAUGUUGUUAAACAAUGAUUUGGGGGCCUCAAAAGUGUCACUCAUGCAUAUUAUUUGAAAUGGAUCAAUAUAAGGCUGUUAAAAUUAGAUCGAAUUAGUUGGUUUAACAGUUGAACCAGGAACCAACUAGAUCAUCAGUUGAUUUAAUCCCGGUUAAUGUUGUAGUCAGCUGGUUGUACCGGUUUUCAUUUUUUACAUUACUGUGGUUGAACCAAUUGAUGAAUUAUGAUCCAGAAAUUUUUUGUUAGUCGUAUUAUCUGAUUUUUUGUUACAUGCAUGGAUCCUGAAUUCGUUAACACCUUCAAUUGCUUGGAGUAUAUUGUGCACAUUAAUCUAACUCCAAUGGCUUGGAACACCUUCAAAUUUCCCUCAAAAAUAUAUAAACCAACAACUUUUUAUAUUUAAAUAUAAACAUAGAUCUAUUUCUGAGUACAAGUUUUCAUUUAACUUAAACUCUUAAAAAUCAACAUUAUAUUAUUCUGACAAAUUAUGAAUAACAUUUGAAAAAAGUAAAUUAAAAAAUUGAAAAUAUUUACCUAAUAACUAAUGCAAAUAAGUUAUGUUAGAUUUUAUGUAGUACCUAGCUACAAAUCAACUUUUACUUUACUUACAAAUUUACUUAUGUGACUAAUUUUCAUUUAUUGUUAGAUAAACUAUCCACAGGUUUUUAAGGANNNNNNNNNNNNNNNNNNNNNNNNNNNNNNNNNNNNNNNNNNNNNNNNGAUACUUAAAAAAAAAAAAAAAACCUACAUAUAAAUAUCAUCGAAAUUGUGUCCCUUAAAAAUAGAAGAACGUAUAGUAAUUUUAGUACAAAUUUAGUACACAUAGUAAUUUUAGUAAUUUAAAAAUGUAAAUAGUACAAAUAGUACCUAUAGUAAUUUUUUGGUACAAAGGUUUGGUGGUAUGUUUCUUUAUUGCACCUUCUCAAUAAUUUUUUUAUAAAUGCACCUUCUCAAUUAUUACUGUUCCCUUCCAAAAAUCUAAUUUUGAUUUAUGUGGCCCUAUUGAUAAUUUGAUAAUAUAUCACCAACGACGCUGGCAAGUCAUAACUAAUUUAAUUUCGUGCUACUGAUUUCAAGAGUAGGUAGGUAGGUAGAUAAUUUUGACAGUUUUGGAUCCUCUCCAAUUUUUCAUGUUAUUUCUCUUUUAUAAUCUAAUAUUUUUAAAUGGUUGAGAAAUUAUAAAGAGCAAAUAAAUAUUUAAGAAGAGUUAAAAAAAAUGAAUGGCUAAGAUUACUACAACAUUAUUAACAUAAGAGAACAAAAUUGAAGAUAUCCAAAUUCUUAGAUUAAAAAAGAAGAGAGAUAACAUAAAAAAAAAAAAAAUUGAAGAGGAUCCAAAUCAUCUCUUUAUUUUAUAGUGAUUUAUACCAAAAGGUACAUCCUAUACAAUAAGAAAACUAUUUUUUUUUUCUUUCUGAUAGGCAAAGAUAUAUUAAUAUAAGAAAAAUGGGUACUCAAAACCCAAAACAAAAAAUAAAUAAAGAGAAGGUGCAUCUACACUCAAUGGUUGCUUUAUUUAACACAGGGUCCCAACUCAUUAAAUCACUCCGUAUAUCGGAGGAUAAAUAAAUAAGGGUCUUGUUAACAUGUGUCCUAAGGGCACAUGUUAAGAUAUACCAAAAUAGAAAUUCAACAUUUAAUGAUACAAGAAAUUUAAUGCUUCAAAAGUUAAAAUACACAAAUUAGCAUUUAAUAAUUUCUAUUUUUGUUUCCUUAACAUGUGCCUUAAGGGCACAAGUUAACAUUCUCCAAUAAAUAAAGAGGGGCCAAUUUUAACAGCAUAUAGUAGGCCCCAAGAUGAAGUGAAUUCCACCAUCAUGUUUAAAACGUUUUUUAAAUGAUGUACUUCAUAUUUUCUUUCUAUGUUUUUUAUUAGUUGAACUUUUUUUCAUUUCUUUUAGAAAACAUUGGCACACCUUUUCAUUUGGGAGGAGGAAUUAUUUGUGGAUUGUCCCGUUAUUUUGGAUCACUUUUCUUUAUAGGUUGAUGUGGUAUUAUUGGAAGUGAGAUCCUGAUCUCGAUUCAAGGUAUACUGUUCGUAGGGUUUAUCAAGUGAUAAUUCUUAUAGCUCCGGUAUAGGUGGAUGUUCAUAAAGAGGUUAUUUAGAACAUUUUUAAUUUGUCUAAUUGAAGGUGUCCAUUUUUUCCUCACGCUUACUAAAUAAUAGAUUAUCAUCAAAAGACAACUUGAUCGGUCGCAGAGACUUUGUGUGAUAAGAUAGAAAUUACAGAUGGUGGUUGAAAUCUAGUAAAAAAUGUUUUAGUUAUGAUUUAGGUAUAUGGUGGUUAAAGUUAAUUGGAUUGGAUUUUGUGGAAAAUCUGUAUAUUUUAUGUCAAAUUCGAAUCGACUUAAUUCGGUGGUGAGUGAGUUGGGUUAACAAGUCAUAACAUUUAAAAUUUCUAAAUGUUUUCUAAAUAAAUUUAUAGUUAAAUGAUUUAAGUAAUAAAUUUCCUUUAAAAAAUGAUUUAAGUAAUAAGUUCAAUUAGUUAGUUUAUAUACUAUAAACAAUAAAAAUUUAAUUAUUAUGUACUGUCAGUGUAAAGUUAUUUUACACAUGCUUUAAAUAAUGUGUUGCAACAUCAUUUAAAGAAUGUGAUACAUCAUAUGUUUUAGAAUACAUUACAUGACAUGUCAAUAUAUUAUUAGAUGCAUGUUUAAAAUAAAUUUACAACGACAGUGUAUAUAAAUUAAAUUCAAACAAUAAACUAGCUUAUAAAUUAUUUGCAACAAAUUAAUCUGUAAUAAUCUAAUUUAUUGGCUUUUUCUAACAUGCACAAGCAACUCAUGUGGUGCAUGGUGCACAAGUUUCGAAUAACAUUAUAAUGAAUACGAAUUUUACAAAAUCGACCAUUGGAUUGAAAGAUUAUAUCAUAUAGAUCUUCCAUAGAAAUUUUUAGAAAAAUCAAAAAUCAUUUGAUAUGUUAUUGAGACCCAUAAAAAUUAACGGUUUAUGAGUUUUUAUUAAAUACCGUUAAUUUUGAUGGGUCUCAAUAACAUAUGAAAUGAUUUUCAAUUUUUCUAAANNNNNNNNNNNNNNNNNNNNNNNNNNNUGAUAUAAUUUUUCAAUCCAAUGGUCAAUUUUGUAAAAUUCGUAUUCGUUAUAAUGUUAUUCGAGACUUGUGCACCAUGCACCACAUAAGUCACUUGUGCAUGUUAGACUUGGCCUAAUUUAUUAUCUAUAUCCACUAUUUUUUUUAAACAUAACCUCAGGAUUCACUGUUGUUGCAGUUUACCACAUUAUUUAUCAAUCUCAACAAUUAAAUUUAGAUAGGACCGUUAAAAUUAAAUACACAGUUAAACGAUUUUAUCUGUUGAUUCAGAUCGGACGGUCCACAGCUCUAACUAGAAAAUCAAUUUCCCUCAAAGUGGUAGAUGUACUGGUAACUAAUGAAUUUAUGACCAGUCCUAAAUAAUGCAAGUAUAUUGUUUCUAUAUAAUAUGCAUGCAUGUGAUCAUAUUAUAUAUCUCAUCAUCACAUUCUCAUAUCAUAUCACAUCAAUAUAGUUGAAUCAUGGCUGCUCUUCGUGGUAAACUAGAGGUAGACAUUGAACUCAAGUCUAAUGCUGACAAGUACUGGAAUAUCAUAAGCGAUACUACAACUAUUUUCCCUAAGGCCUUCCCACAUGACUACAAAAGCAUUGAAGUCCUUUCUGGUGAUGGUAGAUCUGCUGGUUCUAUCCGCCACUUCACUUAUGCUGAAGGUAAAAUUUUGAUAUUUUCUUUUUGUAUAAUGAAGGGCUUUUUCGGUAUAAACUAAAAUGUUAUUUUAUUUUUCUUUGUGUUUUACCCUUACAUUAUAUAUAUACUUAUAAUUUGGCCUAUUUUUUACUCUUGUUUUAUAUAUUGACCUAGAUUGUCCGUUGUAAAAAGAGCACGGCAACACCCAUGUUACAUGUUGUUUUAUAUCUCAGCCAUUAAUUGAAAAAUCAGACAAUUUAUAUUAUUCCACAUAAACUGGAUGCAAAUUGAUUUGAAUUUCCUGUUGUAAUAGUUGGACGCAAUACAACUCCUACUCAUGUUUAGUACAUUAUACGAAUCUCUGUUACAAAAGUUUAAUUUUUUUUAACAAGAAAUGGAUUAAAUAUGAAUUUUUUAGUUUUUUGCACAUAAAUAAUUCAUCUUAUAUUAAAAAAAUCUAAAUUUUUAUCGAAGAUGUUCUUAUAAUAUUAUAAACAUCUUAUGUUCUUAUAAUAUUCAUAAAAAUCUUUGGUGAUUUGUGUUGUAGGUUCACUACUUGCGAAAUCAUCGACACAAAGGACUGAUGCUAUUGAUGAUGAAAAGAAGACACUAACCUAUUCUAUAAUUGAAGGGGAUCUCCUCCAGUACUUCAGUAAGUUUCAGGCACACGUUGCUGUAAUACCUGUUGGAGAAGGGACUGAGGUGAAAUGGACUGCUGAAUUUACUAAAGUCAAGCAUGAUAUUCCUGAUCCAACUAUUGUCAAAGAUUUUGCAGUCAAGAACUUCAUUGAGGUUGAUGACUAUAUUCAGCAAAAUGCAUAGAAGUUCAGUGCAUUUGAUGAAGGACAAGCUAGUAUUUUAAUAUAAAUGUAUUGUUACAUAAUGUUGUGGAAUAAUGGAGUCAUUUCCUUUUUAAUGUAAUGUGAUGUAUGUGGU